rnacentral:lncRNA from 1 species
UAGUGUUGGAGCCAGGGUUAGGGUUGGGCUUGGAGCUAGGAUUUUUCUGAGUGCACUGAACCAACUCCCGAGUCUCUAGGACAUUCCUAAAAAAUUUGAUUUUUUUCCCAUAGGAAUGCAUGGGUUAGGGUUAGUGGUUAGGGUUAGGGUUGGAGCUAGGGUUAGGGUUAGGGUUAGGGUUGGAGUUAGGGUUAGUGUUGGAGCUAGGGUUAGGGUUGGGCUUGGAGCUAGGAUUUUUCUGAGUGCAAUGAACCAACCCCCGAGUCUCUAGGACGUUCCUAAAAAAAUUUGAUUUUUUCCCUAUAGGAAUGCAUGGGUUAGGGUUAGGGUUAGGGUUGGAGCUAGGGUUAGGGUUAGGGUUAGGGUUGGAGUUAGGGUUAGUGUUGGAGCUAGGGUUAGGGUUGGGCUUGGAGCUAGGAUUUUUCUGAGUGCAAUGAACCAACUCCCGAGUCUCUAGGACGUUCCUAAAAAAAUUUGAUUUUUUCCCAUAGGAAUGCAUGGGUUAGGGUUAGGGUUAGGGUUGGAGCUAGGGUUAGGGUUAGGGUUAGGGUUGGAGUUAGGGUUAGUGUUGGAGCUAGGGUUAGGGUUGGGCUUGGAGCUAGGUUUUUCUGAGGGUGCACUGAACCAACUCCCGAGUCUCUAGGACAUUCCUAAAAAAAUUUGAUUUUUUCCCAUAGGAAUGCAUGGGUUAGGGUUAUGGUUAGGGUUGGAGCUAGGGUUAGGGUUAGGGUUAGGGUUGGAGUUAGGGUUAGUGUUGGAGCUAGGGUUAGGGUUGGGCUUGGAGCUAGGAUUUUUCUGAGUGCACUGAACCAACUCCCGAGUCUCUAGGACAUUCCUAAAAAAAUUUGAUUUUUUCCCAUAGGAAUGCAUGGGUUAGGGUUAGGGUUAGGGUUGGAGCUAGGGUUAGGGUUAGGGUUAGGGUUGGAGUUAGGGUUAGUGUUGGAGCUAGGGUUAGGGUUGGGCUUGGAGCUAGGAUUUUUCUGAGUGCACUGAACCAACUCCCGAGUCUCUAGGACAUUCCUAAAAAAAUUUGAUUUUUCCCAUAGGAAUGCAUGGGUUAGGGUUAUGGUUAGGGUUAGGGUUGGAGCUAGGGUUAGGGUUAGGGUUAGGGUUGGAGUUAGGGUUAGUGUUGGAGCUAGGGUUAGGGUUGGGCUUGGAGCUAGGAUUUUUCUGAGUGCACUGAACCAACUCCCGAGUCUCUAGGACAUUCCUAAAAAAAUUUGAUUUUUUUCCCAUAGGAAUGCAUGGGUUAGGGUUAGGGUUAUGGUUAGGGUUAGGGUUAGGGUUAGGGUUAGGGUUGGAGUUAGGGUUAGUGUUGGAGCUAGGGUUAGGGUUGGGCUUGGAGCUAGGAUUUUUCUGAGUGCACUGAACCAACUCCCGGGUCUCUAGGACAUUCCUAAAAAAAUUUGAUUUUUUCCCAUAGGAAUGCAUGGGUUAGGGUUAGGGUUAGGGUUGGAGCUAGGGUUAGGGUUAGGGUUAGGGUUGGAGUUAGGGUUAGUGUUGGAGCUAGGGUUAGGGUUGGGCUUGGAGCUAGGAUUUUUCUGAGUGCAAUGAACCAACUCCCGAGUCUCUAGGACAUUCCUAAAAAAAUUUGAUUUUUUCCCAUAGGAAUGCAUGGGUUAGGGUUAGGGUUAGGGUUGGAGCUAGGGUUAGGGUUAGGGUUAGGGUUGGAGUUAGGGUUAGUGUUGGAGCUAGGGUUAGGGUUGGGCUUGGAGCUAGGAUUUUUCUGAGUGCACUGAACCAACUCCCGAGUCUCUAGGACAUUCCUAAAAAAAUUUGAUUUUUUUCCCAUAGGAAUGCAUGGGUUAGGGUUAUGGUUAGGGUUAGGGUUGGAGCUAGGGUUAGGGUUAGGGUUAGGGUUGGAGUUAGGGUUAGUGUUGGAGCUAGGGUUAGGGUUGGGCUUGGAGCUAGGAUUUUUCUGAGUGCAAUGAACCAACCCCCGAGUCUCUAGGACGUUCCUAAAAAAAUUUGAUUUUUUCCCAUAGGAAUGCAUGGGUUAGGGUUAUGGUUAGGGUUGGAGCUAGGGUUAGGGUUAGGGUUAGGGUUGGAGUUAGGGUUAGUGUUGGAGCUAGGGUUAGGGUUGGGCUUGGAGCUAGGAUUUUUCUGAGUGCAAUGAACCAACUCCCGAGUCUCUAGGACGUUCCUAAAAAAUUUGAUUUUUUCCCAUAGGAAUGCAUGGGUUAGGGUUAGGGUUAGGGUUGGAGCUAGGGUUAGGGUUAGGGUUAGGGUUGGAGUUAGGGUUAGUGUUGGAGCUAGGGUUAGGGUUGGGCUUGGAGCUAGGAUUUUUCUGAGUGCACUGAACCAACUCCCGAGUCUCUAGGACGUUCCUAAAAAAAUUUGAUUUUUUCCCAUAGGAAUGCAUGGGUUAGGGUUAUGGUUAGGGUUAGGGUUAGGGUUGGAGUUAGGGUUAGUGUUGGAGCUAGGGUUAGGGUUGGGCUUGGAGCUAGGAUUUUUCUGAGUGCACUGAACCAACUCCCGAGUCUCUAGGACAUUCCUAAAAAAAUUUGAUUUUUUCCCAUAGGAAUGCAUGGGUUAGGGUUAGGGUUAGGGUUGGAGCUAGGGUUAGGGUUAGGGUUAGGGUUGGAGUUAGGGUUAGUGUUGGAGCUAGGGUUAGGGUUGGGCUUGGAGCUAGGAUUUUUCUGAGUGCACUGAACCAACUCCCGAGUCUCUAGGACAUUCCUAAAAAAAUUUGAUUUUUUCCUAUAGGAAUGCAUGGGUUAGGGUUAUGGUUAGGGUUAGGGUUGGAGCUAGGGUUAGGGUUAGGGUUAGGGUUGGAGUUAGGGUUAGUGUUGGAGCUAGGGUUAGGGUUGGGCUUGGAGCUAGGAUUUUUCUGAGUGCACUGAACCAACUCCCGAGUCUCUAGGACAUUCCUAAAAAAAUUUGAUUUUUUCCCAUAGGAAUGCAUGGGUUAGGGUUAGGGUUAGGGUUGGAGCUAGGGUUAGGGUUAGGGUUAGGGUUGGAGUUAGGGUUAGUGUUGGAGCUAGGGUUAGGGUUGGGCUUGGAGCUAGGAUUUUUCUGAGUGCACUGAACCAACUCCCGAGUCUCUAGGACAUUCCUAAAAAAAUUUGAUUUUUUCCUAUAGGAAUGCAUGGGUUAGGGUUAUGGUUAGGGUUAGGGUUGGAGCUAGGGUUAGGGUUAGGGUUAGGGUUGGAGUUAGGGUUAGUGUUGGAGCUAGGGUUAGGGUUGGGCUUGGAGCUAGGAUUUUUCUGAGUGCACUGAACCAACUCCCGAGUCUCUAGGACAUUCCUAAAAAAAUUUGAUUUUUUCCCAUAGGAAUGCAUGGGUUAGGGUUAUGGUUAGGGUAAGGGUUGGAGCUAGGGUUAGGGUUAGGGUUAGGGUUGGAGUUAGGGUUAGUGUUGGAGCUAGGGUUAGGGUUGGGCUUGGAGCUAGGAUUUUUCUGAGUGCAAUGAACCAACUCCCGAGUCUCUAGGACGUUCCUAAAAAAAUUUGAUUUUUUCCCAUAGGAAUGCAUGGGUUAGGGUUAGGGUUAGGGUUGGAGCUAGUGUUAGGGUUAGGGAUAGGGUUGGAGUUAAGGUUAGUGUUGGAGCUAGGGUUAGGGUUGGGCUUGGAGCUAGGAUUUUUCUGAGUGCACUGAACCAACUCCCGAGUCUCUAGGACGUUCCUAAAAAAAUUUGAUUUUUUCCCAUAGGAAUGCAUGGGUUAGGGUUAUGGUUAGGGUUGGAGCUAGGGUUAGGGUUAGGGUUAGGGUUGGAGUUAGGGUUAGUGUUGGAGCUAGGGUUAGGGUUGGGCUUGGAGCUAGGAUUUUUCUGAGUGCAAUGAACCAACUCCCGAGUCUCUAGGACGUUCCUAAAAAAAUUUGAUUUUUUCCCAUAGGAAUGCAUGGGUUAGGGUUAGGGUUAGGGUUGGAGCUAGGGUUAGGGUUAGGGUUAGGGUUGGAGUUAGGGUUAGUGUUGGAGCUAGGGUUAGGGUUGGGCUUGGAGCUAGGAUUUUUCUGAGUGCACUGAACCAACUCCCGAGUCUCUAGGACGUUCCUAAAAAAAUUUGAUUUUUUCCCAUAGGAAUGCAUGGGUUAGGGUUAGGGUUAGGGUUAGGGUUGGAGCUAGGGUUAGGGUUAGGGUUAGGGUUGGAGUUAGGGUUGGGCUUGGAGCUAGGGUUAGGGUUGGGCUUGGAGCUAGGAUUUUUCUGAGUGCAAUGAACCAACCCCGAGUCUCUAGGACGUUCCUAAAAAAUCUGAUUUUUUCCCAUAGGAAUGCAUGGGUUAGGGUUAUGGUUAGGGUUAGGGUUGGAGCUAGGGUUAGGGUUAGGGUUAGGGUUGGAGUUAGGGUUAGUGUUGGAGCUAGGGUUAGGCUUGGGCUUGGAGCUAGGAUUUUUCUGAGUGCAAUGAACCAACUCCCGAGUCUCUAGGACGUUCCUAAAAAAAUUUGAUUUUUUCCCAUAGGAAUGCAUGGGUUAGGGUUAGGGUUAGGGUUGGAGCUAGGGUUAGGGUUAGGGUUAGGGUUGGAGUUAGGGUUAGUGUUGGAGCUAGGGUUAGGGUUGGGCUUGGAGCUAGGAUUUUUCUGAGUGCACUGAACCAACUCCCGAGUCUCUAGGACAUUCCUAAAAAAAUUUGAUUUUUUCCCAUAGGAAUGCAUGGGUUAGGGUUAGGGUUAGGGUUGGAGCUAGGGUUAGGGUUAGGGUUAGGGUUGGAGUUAGGGUUAGUGUUGGAGCUAGGGUUAGGGUUGGGCUUGGAGCUAGGAUUUUUCUGAGUGCACUGAACCAACUCCCGAGUCUCUAGGACAUUCCUAAAAAAUUUGAUUUUUUCCCAUAGGAAUGCAUGGGUUAGGGUUAUGGUUAGGGUUAGGGUUGGAGCUAGGGUUAGGGUUAGGGUUAGGGUUGGAGUUAGGGUUAGUGUUGGAGCUAGGGUUAGGGUUGGGCUUGGAGCUAGGAUUUUUCUGAGUGCAAUGAACCAACUCCCGAGUCUCUUGGACGUUCCUAAAAAAAUUUGAUUUUUUUCCCAUAGGAAUGCAUGGGUUAGGGUUAGGGUUAGGGUUGGAGCUAGGGUUAGGGUUAGGGUUAGGGUUGGAGUUAGGGUUAGUGUUGGAGCUAGGGUUAGGGUUGGGCUUGGAGCUAGGAUUUUUCUGAGUGCACUGAACCAACUCCCGAGUCUCUAGGACAUUCCUAAAAAAAUUUGAUUUUUUCCCAUAGGAAUGCAUGGGUUAGGGUUAGGGUUAGGGUUGGAGCUAGGGUUAGGGUUAGGGUUAGGGUUGGAGUUAGGGUUAGUGUUGGAGCUAGGGUUAGGGUUGGGCUUGGAGCUAGGAUUUUUCUGAGUGCACUGAACCAACUCCCGAGUCUCUAGGACAUUCCUAAAAAAAUUUGAUUUUUUCCCAUAGGAAUGCAUGGGUUAGGGUUAUGGUUAGGGUUAGGGUUGGAGCUAGGGUUAGGGUUAGGGUUAGGGUUGGAGUUAGGGUUAGUGUUGGAGCUAGGGUUAGGGUUGGGCUUGGAGCUAGGAUUUUUCUGAGUGCACUGAACCAACUCCCGAGUCUCUAGGACAUUCCUAAAAAAAUUUGAUUUUUUCCCAUAGGAAUGCAUGGGUUAGGGUUAGGGUUAGGGUUGGAGCUAGGGUUAGGGUUAGGGUUAGGGUUGGAGUUAGGGUUAGUGUUGGAGCUAGGGUUAGGGUUGGGCUUGGAGCUAGGAUUUUUCUGAGUGCACUGAACCAACUCCCGAGUCUCUAGGACAUUCCUAAAAAAAUUUGAUUUUUUCCCAUAGGAAUGCAUGGGUUAGGGUUAUGGUUAGGGUUAGGGUUGGAGCUAGGGUUAGGGUUAGGGUUAGGGUUGGAGUUAGGGUUAGUGUUGGAGCUAGGGUUAGGGUUGGGCUUGGAGCUAGGAUUUUUCUGAGUGCAAUGAACCAACUCCCGAGUCUCUUGGACGUUCCUAAAAAAAUUUGAUUUUUUCCCAUAGGAAUGCAUGGGUUAGGGUUAGGGUUAGGGUUGGAGCUAGGGUUAGGGUUAGGGUUAGGGUUGGAGUUAGGGUUAGUGUUGGAGCUAGGGUUAGGGUUGGGCUUGGAGCUAGGAUUUUUCUGAGUGCACUGAACCAACUCCCGAGUCUCUAGGACAUUCCUAAAAAAAUUUGAUUUUUUCCCAUAGGAAUGCAUGGGUUAGGGUUAGGGUUAGGGUUGGAGCUAGGGUUAGGGUUAGGGUUAGGGUUGGAGUUAGGGUUAGUGUUGGAGCUAGGGUUAGGGUUGGGCUUGGAGCUAGGAUUUUUCUGAGUGCAAUGAACCAACUCCCGAGUCUCUUGGACGUUCCUAAAAAAAUUUGAUUUUUUCCCAUAGGAAUGCAUGGGUUAGGGUUAGGGUUAGGGUUGGAGCUAGGGUUAGGGUUAGGGUUAGGGUUGGAGUUAGGGUUAGUGUUGGAGCUAGGGUAGGGUUGGGCUUGGAGCUAGGAUUUUUCUGAGUGCAAUGAACCAACUCCCGAGUCUCUUGGACGUUCCUAAAAAAAUUUGAUUUUUUCCCAUAGGAAUGCAUGGGUUAGGGUUAGGGUUAGGGUUGGAGCUAGGGUUAGGGUUAGGGUUAGGGUUGGAGUUAGGGUUAGUGUUGGAGCUAGGGUUAGGGUUGGGCUUGGAGCUAGGAUUUUUCUGAGUGCAAUGAACCAACUCCCGGGUCUCUAGGACGUUCCUAAAAAAAUUUGAUUUUUUCCCAUAGGAAUGCAUGGGUAAGGGUUAGGGUUAGGGUUGGAGCUAGGAUUAGGGUUAGGGUUAGGGUUGGAGUUAAGGUUAGUGUUGGAGCUAGGGUUAGGGUUGGGCUUGGAGCUAGGAUUUUUCUGAGUGCAAUGAACCAACUCCCGAGUCUCUAGGACGUUCCUAAAAAAAUUUGAUUUUUUCCCAUAGGAAUGCAUGGGUUAGGGUUAUGGUUAGGGUUAGGGUUGGAGCUAGGGUUAGGGUUAGGGUUAGGGUUGGAGUUAGGGUUAGUGUUGGAGCUAGGGUUAGGGUUGGGCUUGGAGCUAGGAUUUUUCUGAGUGCAAUGAACCAACCCCCGAGUCUCUAGGACGUUCCUAAAAAAUUUGAUUUUUUCCCAUAGGAAUGCAUGGGUUAGGGUUAUGGUUAGGGUUAGGGUUGGAGCUAGGGUUAGGGUUAGGGUUAGGGUUGGAGUUAGGGUUAGUGUUGGAGCUAGGGUUAGGGUUGGGCUUGGAGCUAGGAUUUUUCUGAGUGCAAUGAACCAACUCCCGAGUCUCUAGGACGUUCCUAAAAAAAUUUGAUUUUUUCCCAUAGGAAUGCAUGGGUUAGGGUUAGGGUUAGGGUUGGAGCUAGGGUUAGGGUUAGGGUUAGGGUUGGAGUUAGGGUUAGUGUUGGAGCUAGGGUUAGGGUUGGGCUUGGAGCUAGGAUUUUUCUGAGUGCACUGAACCAACUCCCGAGUCUCUAGGACAUUCCUAAAAAAAUUUGAUUUUUUCCCAUAGGAAUGCAUGGGUUAGGGUUAGGGUUAGGGUUGGAGCUAGGGUUAGGGUUAGGGUUAGGGUUGGAGUUAGGGUUAGUGUUGGAGCUAGGGUUAGGGUUGGGCUUGGAGCUAGGAUUUUUCUGAGUGCACUGAACCAACUCCCGAGUCUCUAGGACAUUCCUAAAAAAAUUUGAUUUUUUCCUAUAGGAAUGCAUGGGUUAGGGUUAUGGUUAGGGUUAGGGUUGGAGCUAGGGUUAGGGUUAGGGUUAGGGUUGGAGUUAGGGUUAGUGUUGGAGCUAGGGUUAGGGUUGGGCUUGGAGCUAGGAUUUUUCUGAGUGCACUGAACCAACUCCCGAGUCUCUAGGACAUUCCUAAAAAAAUUUGAUUUUUUCCCAUAGGAAUGCAUGGGUUAGGGUUAGGGUUAGGGUUGGAGCUAGGGUUAGGGUUAGGGUUAGGGUUGGAGUUAGGGUUAGUGUUGGAGCUAGGGUUAGGGUUGGGCUUGGAGCUAGGAUUUUUCUGAGUGCACUGAACCAACUCCCGAGUCUCUAGGACAUUCCUAAAAAAAUUUGAUUUUUUCCUAUAGGAAUGCAUGGGUUAGGGUUAUGGUUAGGGUUAGGGUUGGAGCUAGGGUUAGGGUUAGGGUUAGGGUUGGAGUUAGGGUUAGUGUUGGAGCUAGGGUUAGGGUUGGGCUUGGAGCUAGGAUUUUUCUGAGUGCACUGAACCAACUCCCGAGUCUCUAGGACAUUCCUAAAAAAAUUUGAUUUUUUCCCAUAGGAAUGCAUGGGUUAGGGUUAUGGUUAGGGUAAGGGUUGGAGCUAGGGUUAGGGUUAGGGUUAGGGUUGGAGUUAGGGUUAGUGUUGGAGCUAGGGUUAGGGUUGGGCUUGGAGCUAGGAUUUUUCUGAGUGCAAUGAACCAACUCCCGAGUCUCUAGGACGUUCCUAAAAAAAUUUGAUUUUUUCCCAUAGGAAUGCAUGGGUUAGGGUUAGGGUUAGGGUUGGAGCUAGUGUUAGGGUUAGGGAUAGGGUUGGAGUUAAGGUUAGUGUUGGAGCUAGGGUUAGGGUUGGGCUUGGAGCUAGGAUUUUUCUGAGUGCAAUGAACCAACUCCCGAGUCUCUAGGACGUUCCUAAAAAAAUUUGAUUUUUUCCCAUAGGAAUGCAUGGGUUAGGGUUAUGGUUAGGGUAAGGGUUGGAGCUAGGGUUAGGGUUAGGGUUAGGGUUGGAGUUAGGGUUAGUGUUGGAGCUAGGGUUAGGGUUGGGCUUGGAGCUAGGAUUUUUCUGAGUGCAAUGAACCAACUCCCGAGUCUCUAGGACGUUCCUAAAAAAAUUUGAUUUUUUCCCAUAGGAAUGCAUGGGUUAGGGUUAGGGUUAGGGUUGGAGCUAGGGUUAGGGUUAGGGAUAGGGUUGGAGUUAAGGUUAGUGUUGGAGCUAGGGUUAGGGUUGGGCUUGGAGCUAGGAUUUUUCUGAGUGCACUGAACCAACUCCCGAGUCUCUAGGACGUUCCUAAAAAAAUUUGAUUUUUUCCCAUAGGAAUGCAUGGGUUAGGGUUAGGGUUAGGGUUAGGGUUGGAGCUAGGGUUAGGGUUAGGGUUAGGGUUGGAGUUAGGGUUGGGCUUGGAGCUAGGGUUAGGGUUGGGCUUGGAGCUAGGAUUUUUCUGAGUGCAAUGAACCAACCCCCGAGUCUCUAGGACGUUCCUAAAAAAAUCUGAUUUUUUCCCAUAGGAAUGCAUGGGUUAGGGUUAUGGUUAGGGUUAGGGUUGGAGCUAGGGUUAGGGUUAGGGUUAGGGUUGGAGUUAGGGUUAGUGUUGGAGCUAGGGUUAGGCUUGGGCUUGGAGCUAGGAUUUUUCUGAGUGCAAUGAACCAACUCCCGAGUCUCUAGGACGUUCCUAAAAAAAUUUGAUUUUUUCCCAUAGGAAUGCAUGGGUUAGGGUUAGGGUUAGGGUUGGAGCUAGGGUUAGGGUUAGGGUUAGGGUUGGAGUUAGGGUUAGUGUUGGAGCUAGGGUUAGGGUUGGGCUUGGAGCUAGGAUUUUUCUGAGUGCACUGAACCAACUCCCGAGUCUCUAGGACAUUCCUAAAAAAAUUUGAUUUUUUCCCAUUGGAAUGCAUGGGUUAGGGUUAGGGUUAGGGUUGGAGCUAGGGUUAGGGUUAGGGUUAGGGUUGGAGUUAGGGUUAGUGUUGGAGCUAGGGUUAGGGUUGGGCUUGGAGCUAGGAUUUUUCUGAGUGCACUGAACCAACUCCCGAGUCUCUAGGACAUUCCUAAAAAAAUUUGAUUUUUUCCCAUAGGAAUGCAUGGGUUAGGGUUAUGGUUAGGGUUAGGGUUGGAGCUAGGGUUAGGGUUAGGGUUAGGGUUGGAGUUAGGGUUAGUGUUGGAGCUAGGGUUAGGGUUGGGCUUGGAGCUAGGAUUUUUCUGAGUGCAAUGAACCAACUCCCGAGUCUCUUGGACGUUCCUAAAAAAAUUUGAUUUUUUCCCAUAGGAAUGCAUGGGUUAGGGUUAGGGUUAGGGUUGGAGCUAGGGUUAGGGUUAGGGUUAGGGUUGGAGUUAGGGUUAGUGUUGGAGCUAGGGUUAGGGUUGGGCUUGGAGCUAGGAUUUUUCUGAGUGCACUGAACCAACUCCCGAGUCUCUAGGACAUUCCUAAAAAAAUUUGAUUUUUUCCCAUAGGAAUGCAUGGGUUAGGGUUAGGGUUAGGGUUGGAGCUAGGGUUAGGGUUAGGGUUAGGGUUGGAGUUAGGGUUAGUGUUGGAGCUAGGGUUAGGGUUGGGCUUGGAGCUAGGAUUUUUCUGAGUGCACUGAACCAACUCCCGAGUCUCUAGGACAUUCCUAAAAAAAUUUGAUUUUUUCCCAUAGGAAUGCAUGGGUUAGGGUUAUGGUUAGGGUUAGGGUUGGAGCUAGGGUUAGGGUUAGGGUUAGGGUUGGAGUUAGGGUUAGUGUUGGAGCUAGGGUUAGGGUUGGGCUUGGAGCUAGGAUUUUUCUGAGUGCACUGAACCAACUCCCGAGUCUCUAGGACAUUCCUAAAAAAAUUUGAUUUUUUCCCAUAGGAAUGCAUGGGUUAGGGUUAGGGUUAGGGUUGGAGCUAGGGUUAGGGUUAGGGUUAGGGUUGGAGUUAGGGUUAGUGUUGGAGCUAGGGUUAGGGUUGGGCUUGGAGCUAGGAUUUUUCUGAGUGCACUGAACCAACUCCCGAGUCUCUAGGACAUUCCUAAAAAAAUUUGAUUUUUUCCCAUAGGAAUGCAUGGGUUAGGGUUAUGGUUAGGGUUAGGGUUGGAGCUAGGGUUAGGGUUAGGGUUAGGGUUGGAGUUAGGGUUAGUGUUGGAGCUAGGGUUAGGGUUGGGCUUGGAGCUAGGAUUUUUCUGAGUGCAAUGAACCAACUCCCGAGUCUCUUGGACGUUCCUAAAAAAAUUUGAUUUUUUCCCAUAGGAAUGCAUGGGUUAGGGUUAGGGUUAGGGUUGGAGCUAGGGUUAGGGUUAGGGUUAGGGUUGGAGUUAGGGUUAGUGUUGGAGCUAGGGUUAGGGUUGGGCUUGGAGCUAGGAUUUUUCUGAGUGCACUGAACCAACUCCCGAGUCUCUAGGACAUUCCUAAAAAAAUUUGAUUUUUUCCCAUAGGAAUGCAUGGGUUAGGGUUAGGGUUAGGGUUGGAGCUAGGGUUAGGGUUAGGGUUAGGGUUGGAGUUAGGGUUAGUGUUGGAGCUAGGGUUAGGGUUGGGCUUGGAGCUAGGAUUUUUCUGAGUGCAAUGAACCAACUCCCGAGUCUCUUGGACGUUCCUAAAAAAAUUUGAUUUUUUCCCAUAGGAAUGCAUGGGUUAGGGUUAGGGUUAGGGUUGGAGCUAGGGUUAGGGUUAGGGUUAGGGUUGGAGUUAGGGUUAGUGUUGGAGCUAGGGAUAGGGUUGGGCUUGGAGCUAGGAUUUUUCUGAGUGCAAUGAACCAACUCCCGAGUCUCUUGGACGUUCCUAAAAAAAUUUGAUUUUUUCCCAUAGGAAUGCAUGGGUUAGGGUUAGGGUUAGGGUUGGAGCUAGGGUUAGGGUUAGGGUUAGGGUUGGAGUUAGGGUUAGUGUUGGAGCUAGGGUUAGGGUUGGGCUUGGAGCUAGGAUUUUUCUGAGUGCAAUGAACCAACUCCCGGGUCUCUAGGACGUUCCUAAAAAAAUUUGAUUUUUUCCCAUAGGAAUGCAUGGGUAAGGGUUAGGGUUAGGGUUGGAGCUAGGAUUAGGGUUAGGGUUAGGGUUGGAGUUAAGGUUAGUGUUGGAGCUAGGGUUAGGGUUGGGCUUGGAGCUAGGAUUUUUCUGAGUGCAAUGAACCAACUCCCGAGUCUCUAGGACGUUCCUAAAAAAAUUUGAUUUUUUCCCAUAGGAAUGCAUGGGUUAGGGUUAUGGUUAGGGUUAGGGUUGGAGCUAGGGUUAGGGUUAGGGUUAGGGUUGGAGUUAGGGUUAGUGUUGGAGCUAGGGUUAGGGUUGGGCUUGGAGCUAGGAUUUUUCUGAGUGCAAUGAACCAACCCCCGAGUCUCUAGGACGUUCCUAAAAAAUUUGAUUUUUUCCCAUAGGAAUGCAUGGGUUAGGGUUAUGGUUAGGGUUAGGGUUGGAGCUAGGGUUAGGGUUAGGGUUAGGGUUGGAGUUAGGGUUAGUGUUGGAGCUAGGGUUAGGGUUGGGCUUGGAGCUAGGAUUUUUCUGAGUGCAAUGAACCAACUCCCGAGUCUCUAGGACGUUCCUAAAAAAUUUGAUUUUUUCCCAUAGGAAUGCAUGGGUUAGGGUUAGGGUUAGGGUUGGAGCUAGGGUUAGGGUUAGGGUUAGGGUUGGAGUUAGGGUUAGUGUUGGAGCUAGGGUUAGGGUUGGGCUUGGAGCUAGGAUUUUUCUUAGUGCAGUGAACCAACUCCCGAGUCUCUAGGACAUUCCUAAAAAAUUUGAUUUUUUCCCAUAGGAAUGCAUGGGUUAGGGUUAGGGUUAGGGUUGGAGCUAGGGUUAGGGUUAGGGUUAGGGUUGGAGUUAGGGUUAGUGUUGGAGCUAGGGUUAGGGUUGGGCUUGGAGCUAGGAUUUUUCUGAGUGCACUGAACCAACUCCCGAGUCUCUAGGACAUUCCUAAAAAAAUUUGAUUUUUUCCCAUAGGAAUGCAUGGGUUAGGGUUAUGGUUAGGGUUAGGGUUGGAGCUAGGGUUAGGGUUAGGGUUAGGGUUGGAGUUAGGGUUAGUGUUGGAGCUAGGGUUAGGGUUGGGCUUGGAGCUAGGAUUUUUCUGAGUGCAAUGAACCAACUCCCGAGUCUCUUGGACGUUCCUAAAAAAAUUUGAUUUUUUCCCAUAGGAAUGCAUGGGUUAGGGUUAGGGUUAGGGUUGGAGCUAGGGUUAGGGUUAGGGUUAGGGUUGGAGUUAGGGUUAGUGUUGGAGCUAGGGUUAGGGUUGGGCUUGGAGCUAGGAUUUUUCUGAGUGCACUGAACCAACUCCCGAGUCUCUAGGACAUUCCUAAAAAAAUUUGAUUUUUUCCCAUAGGAAUGCAUGGGUUAGGGUUAGGGUUAGGGUUGGAGCUAGGGUUAGGGUUAGGGUUAGGGUUGGAGUUAGGGUUAGUGUUGGAGCUAGGGUUAGGGUUGGGCUUGGAGCUAGGAUUUUUCUGAGUGCACUGAACCAACUCCCGAGUCUCUAGGACAUUCCUAAAAAAAUUUGAUUUUUUCCCAUAGGAAUGCAUGGGUUAGGGUUAUGGUUAGGGUUAGGGUUGGAGCUAGGGUUAGGGUUAGGGUUAGGGUUGGAGUUAGGGUUAGUGUUGGAGCUAGGGUUAGGGUUGGGCUUGGAGCUAGGAUUUUUCUGAGUGCAAUGAACCAACUCCCGAGUCUCUUGGACGUUCCUAAAAAAAUGUGAUUUUUUCCCAUAGGAAUGCAUGGGUUAGGGUUAGGGUUAGGGUUGGAGCUAGGGUUAGGGUUAGGGUUAGGGUUGGAGUUAGGGUUAGUGUUGGAGCUAGGGUUAGGGUUGGGCUUGGAGCUAGGAUUUUUCUGAGUGCACUGAACCAACUCCCGAGUCUCUAGGACAUUCCUAAAAAAAUUUGAUUUUUUCCCAUAGGAAUGCAUGGGUUAGGGUUAGGGUUAGGGUUGGAGCUAGGGUUAGGGUUAGGGUUAGGGUUGGAGUUAGGGUUAGUGUUGGAGCUAGGGUUAGGGUUGGGCUUGGAGCUAGGAUUUUUCUGAGUGCACUGAACCAACUCCCGAGUCUCUAGGACAUUCCUAAAAAAAUUUGAUUUUUUCCCAUAGGAAUGCAUGGGUUAGGGUUAUGGUUAGGGUUAGGGUUGGAGCUAGGGUUAGGGUUAGGGUUAGGGUUGGAGUUAGGGUUAGUGUUGGAGCUAGGGUUAGGGUUGGGCUUGGAGCUAGGAUUUUUCUGAGUGCAAUGAACCAACUCCCGAGUCUCUUGGACGUUCCUAAAAAAAUUUGAUUUUUUCCCAUAGGAAUGCAUGGGUUAGGGUUAGGGUUAGGGUUGGAGCUAGGGUUAGGGUUAGGGUUAGGGUUGGAGUUAGGGUUAGUGUUGGAGCUAGGGUUAGGGUUGGGCUUGGAACUAGGAUUUUUCUGAGUGCAAUGAACCAACUCCCGAGUCUCUAGGACGUUCCUAAAAAAAUUUGAUUUUUUCCCAUAGGAAUGCAUGGGUUAGGGUUAGGGUUAGGGUUGGAGCUAGGGUUAGGGUUAGGGUUAGGGUUGGAGUUAAGGUUAGUGUUGGAGCUAGGGUUAGGGUUGGGCUUGGAGCUAGGAUUUUUCUGAGUGCAAUGAACCAACUCCCGAGUCUCUAGGACGUUCCUAAAAAAAUUUGAUUUUUUCCCAUAGGAAUGCAUGGGUUAGGGUUAUGGUUAGGGUUAGGGUUGGAGCUAGGGUUAGGGUAAGGGUUAGGGUUGGAGUUAGGGUUAGUGUUGGAGCUAGGGUUAGGGUUGGGCUUGGAGCUAGGAUUUUUCUGAGUGCAAUGAACCAACCCCCGAGUCUCUAGGACGUUCCUAAAAAAAUUUGAUUUUUUCCCAUAGGAAUGCAUGGGUUAGGGUUAUGGUUAGGGUUAGGGUUGGAGCUAGGGUUAGGGUUAGGGUUGGAGUUAGGGUUAGUGUUGGAGCUAGGGUUAGGGUUGGGCUUGGAGCUAGGAUUUUUCUGAGUGCAAUGAACCAACUCCCGAGUCUCUAGGACAUUCCUAAAAAAAUUUGAUUUUUUUCCCAUAGGAAUGCAUGGGUUAGGGUUAGGGUUAGGGUUGGAGCUAGGGUUAGGGUUAGGGUUAGGGUUGGAGUUAGGGUUAGUGUUGGAGCUAGGGUUAGGGUUGGGCUUGGAGCUAGGAUUUUUCUGAGUGCAAUGAACCAACUCCCGAGUCUCUAGGACGUUCCUAAAAAAAUUUGAUUUUUUCCCAUAGGAAUGCAUGGGUUAGGGUUAGGGUUAGGGUUGGAGCUAGGGUUAGGGUUAGGGUUAGGGUUGGAGUUAGGGUUAGUGUUGGAGCUAGGGUUAGGGUUGGGCUUGGAGCUAGGAUUUUUCUGAGUGCACUGAACCAACUCCUGAGUCUCUAGGACAUUCCUAAAAAAAUUGAUUUUUUCCCAUAGGAAUGCAUGGGUUAGGGUUAGGGUUAGGGUUGGAGCUAGGGUUAGGGUUAGGGUUAGGGUUGGAGUUAGGGUUAGUGUUGGAGCUAGGGUUAGGGUUGGGCUUGGAGCUAGGAUUUUUCUGAGUGCACUGAACCAACUCCCGAGUCUCUAGGACAUUCCUAAAAAAAUUUGAUUUUUUCCCAUAGGAAUGCAUGGGUUAGGGUUAGGGUUAGGGUUGGAGCUAGGGUUAGGGUUAGGGUUAGGGUUGGAGUUAGGGUUAGUGUUGGAGCUAGGGUUAGGGUUGGGCUUGGAGCUAGGAUUUUUCUGGGUGCAAUGAACCAACUCCCGAGUCUCUUGGACGUUCCUAAAAAAUUUGAUUUUUUCCCAUUGCAAUGCAUUUGUUAGGGUUAGGGUUAGGGUUAGGGUUAGGGUUGGAGCUAGGGUUAGGGUUAGGGUUAGGGUUGGAGUUAGGGUUAGUGUUGGAGCUAGGGUUAGGGUUGGGCUUGGAGCUAGGAUUUUUCUGAGUGCAAUGAACCAACUCCCGAGUCUCUAGGACGUUCCUAAAAAAAUUUGAUUUUUUCCCAUAGGAAUGCAUGGGUUAGGGUUAUGGUUAGGGUUAGGGUUGGAGCUAGGGUUAGGGUUAGGGUUAGGGUUGGAGUUAGGGUUAGUGUUGGAGCUAGGGUUAGGGUUGGGCUUGGAGCUAGGAUUUUUCUGAGUGCAAUGAACCAACCCCCGAGUCUCUAGGACGUUCCUAAAAAAAUUUGAUUUUUUCCCAUAGGAAUGCAUGGGUUAGGGUUAUGGUUAGGGUUAGGGUUGGAGCUAGGGUUAGGGUUAGGGUUAGGGUUGGAGUUAGGGUUAGUGUUGGAGCUAGGGUUAGGGUUGGGCUUGGAGCUAGGAUUUUUCUGAGUGCAAUGAACCAACUCCCGAGUCUCUAGGACGUUCCUAAAAAAAUUUGAUUUUUUCCCAUAGGAAUGCAUGGGUUAGGGUUAGGGUUAGGGUUGGAGCUAGGGUUAGGGUUAGGGUUAGGGUUGGAGUUAGGGUUAGUGUUGGAGCUAGGGUUAGGGUUGGGCUUGGAGCUAGGAUUUUUCUGAGUGCAAUGAACCAACUCCCGAAUCUCUAGGACAUUCCUAAAAAAAUUUGAUUUUUUCCCAUAGGAAUGCAUGGGUUAGGGUUAGGGUUAGGGUUGGAGCUAGGGUUAGGGUUAGGGUUAGGGUUGGAGUUAGGGUUAGUGUUGGAGCUAGGGUUAGGGUUGGGCUUGGAGCUAGGAUUUUUCUGAGUGCACUGAACCAACUCCCGAGUCUCUAGGACAUUCCAAAAAAAAUUUGAUUUUUUCCCAUAGGAAUGCAUGGGUUAGGGUUAUGGUUAGGGUUAGGGUUGGAGCUAGGGUUAGGGUUAGGGUUAGGGUUGGAGUUAGGGUUAGUGUUGGAGCUAGGGUUAGGGUUGGGCUUGGAGCUAGGAUUUUUCUGAGUGCAAUGAACCAACUCCCGAGUCUCUUGGACGUUCCUAAAAAAAUUUGAAUUUUUCCAAUAGGAAUGCAUGGGUUAGGGUUAGGGUUAGGGUUGGAGCUAGGGUUAGGGUUAGGGUUAGGGUUGGAGUUAGGGUUAGUGUUGGAGCUAGGGUUAGGGUUGGGCUUGGAGCUAGGAUUUUUCUGAGUGCACUGAACCAACUCCCGAGUCUCUAGGACGUUCCUAAAAAAAUUUGAUUUUUUCCCAUAGGAAUGCAUGGGUUAGGGUUAGGGUUAGGGUUGGAGCUAGGGUUAGGGUUAGGGUUAGGGUUGGAGUUAGGGUUAGUGUUGGAGCUAGGGUUAGGGUUGGGCUUGGAGCUAGGAUUUUUCUGAGUGCACUGAACCAACUCCUGAGUCUCUAGGACAUUCCUAAAAAAAUUGAUUUUUUCCCAUAGGAAUGCAUGGGUUAGGGUUAGGGUUAGGGUUGGAGCUAGGGUUAGGGUUAGGGUUAGGGUUGGAGUUAGGGUUAGUGUUGGAGCUAGGGUUAGGGUUGGGCUUGGAGCUAGGAUUUUUCUGAGUGCACUGAACCAACUCCCGAGUCUCUAGGACAUUCCUAAAAAAAAUUGAUUUUUUCCCAUAGGAAUGCAUGGGUUAGGGUUAGGGUUAGGGUUGGAGCUAGGGUUAGGGUUAGGGUUAGGGUUGGAGUUAGGGUUAGUGUUGGAGCUAGGGUUAGGGUUGGGCUUGGAGCUAGGAUUUUUCUGAGUGCACUGAACCAACUCCCGAGUCUCUAGGACAUUCCUAAAAAAAUUUGAUUUUUUCCCAUAGGAAUGCAUGGGUUAGGGUUAUGGUUAGGGUUAGGGUUAGGGUUGGAGUUAGGGUUAGUGUUGGAGCUAGGGUUAGGGUUGGGCUUGGAGCUAGGAUUUUUCUGAGUGCAAUGAACCAACUCCCGAGUCUCUUGGACGUUCCUAAAAAAAAUUGAUUUUUUCCCAUAGGAAUGCAUGGGUUAGGGUUAGGGUUAGGGUUGGAGCUAGGGUUAGGGUUAGGGUUAGGGUUGGAGUUAGGGUUAGUGUUGGAGCUAGGGUUAGGGUUGGGCUUGGAGCUAGGAUUUUUCUGAGUGCAAUGAACCAACUCCCGAGUCUCUAGGACGUUCCUAAAAAAUUUGAUUUUUUCCCAUAGGAAUGCAUGGGUUAGGGUUAGGGUUAGGGUUGGAGCUAGGGUUAGGGUUAGGGUUAGGGUUCGAGUUAAGGUUAGUGUUGGAGCUAGGGUUAGGGUUGGGCUUGGAGCUAGGAUUUUUCUGAGUGCAAUGAACCAACUCCCGAGUCUCUAGGACGUUCCUAAAAAAAUUUGAUUUUUUCCCAUAGGAAUGCAUGGGUUAGGGUUAUGGUUAGGGUUAGGGUUGGAGCUAGGGUUAGGGUUAGGGUUAGGGUUGGAGUAAGGGUUAGUGUUGGAGCUAGGGUUAGGGUUGGGCUUGGAGCUAGGAUUUUUCUGAGUGCAAUGAACCAACCCCCGAGUCUCUAGGACGUUCCUAAAAAAUUUGAUUUUUUCCCAUAGGAAUGCAUGGAUUAGGGUUAGGGUUAGGGUUGGAGCUAGGGUUAGGGUUAGGGUUAGGGUUGGAGUUAGGGUUAGUGUUGGAGCUAGGGUUAGGGUUGGGCUUGGAGCUAGGAUUUUUCUGAGUGCAAUGAACCAACUCCCGAGUCUCUAGGACGUUCCUAAAAAAAUUUGAUUUUUUCCCAUAGGAAUGCAUGGGUUAGGGUUAGGGUUAGGGUUGGAGCUAGGGUUAGGGUUAGGGUUAGGGUUGGAGUUAGGGUUAGUGUUGGAGCUAGGGUUAGGGUUGGGCUUGGAGCUAGGAUUUUUCUGAGUGCACUGAACCAACUCCCGAGUCUCUAGGACAUUCCUAAAAAAAUUUGAUUUUUUCCCAUAGGAAUGCAUGGGUUAGGGUUAGGGUUAGGGUUGGAGCUAGGGUUAGGGUUAGGGUUAGGGUUGGAGUUAGGGUUAGUGUUGGAGCUAGGGUUAGGGUUGGGCUUGGAGCUAGGAUUUUUCUGAGUGCACUGAACCAACUCCCGAGUCUCUAGGACAUUCCUAAAAAAUUUGAUUUUUUCCCAUAGGAAUGCAUGGGUUAGGGUUAGGGUUAGGGUUGGAGCUAGGGUUAGGGUUAGGGUUAGGGUUGGAGUUAGGGUUAGUGUUGGAGCUAGGGUUAGGGUUGGGCUUGGAGCUAGGAUUUUUCUGAGUGCAAUGAACCAACCCCCGAGUCUCUAGGACGUCCCAAAAAAAAUUUGAUUUUUUCCCAUAGGAAUGCAUGGGUUAGGGUUAUGGUAAGGGUUAGGGUUGGAGCUAGGGUUAGGGUUAGGGUUAGGGUUGGAGUUAGGGUUAGUGUUGGAGCUAGGGUUAGGGUUGGGCUUGGAGCUAGGAUUUUUCUGAGUGCAAUGAACCAACUCCCGAGUCUCUAGGACAUUCCUAAAAAAAUUUGAUUUUUUCCCAUAGGAAUGCAUGGGUUAGGGUUAGGGUUAGGGUUGGAGCUAGGGUUAGGGUUAGGGUUAGGGUUGGAGUUAGGGUUAGUGUUGGAGCUAGGGUUAGGGUUGGGCUUGGAGCUAGGAUUUUUCUGAGUGCAAUGAACCAACUCCCGAGUCUCUUGGACGUUCCUAAAAAAAUUUGAUUUUUUCCCAUAGGAAUGCAUGGGUUAGGGUUAGGGUUAGGGUUGGAGCUAGGGUUAGGGUUAGGGUUAGGGUUGGAGUUAGGGUUAGUGUUGGAGCUAGGGUUAGGGUUGGGCUUGGAGCUAGGAUUUUUCUGAGUGCACUGAACCAACUCCCGAGUCUCUAGGACAUUCCUAAAAAAAUUUGAUUUUUUCCCAUAGGAAUGCAUGGGUUAGGGUUAUGGUUAGGGUUAGGGUUGGAGCUAGGGUUAGGGUUAGGGUUAGGGUUGGAGUUAGGGUUAGUGUUGGAGCUAGGGUUAGGGUUGGGCUUGGAGCUAGGAUUUUUCUGAGUGCAAUGAACCAACUCCCGAGUCUCUUGGACGUUCCUAAAAAAAUUUGAUUUUUUUCCAUAGGAAUGCAUGGGUUAGGGUUAGGGUUAGGGUUGGAGCUAGGGUUAGGGUUAGGGUUAGGGUUGGAGUUAGGGUUAGUGUUGGAGCUAGGGUUAGGGUUGGGCUUGGAGCUAGGAUUUUUCUGAGUGCACUGAACCAACUCCCGAGUCUCUAGGACAUUCCUAAAAAAAUUUGAUUUUUUCCCAUAGGAAUGCAUGGGUUAGGGUUAGGGUUAGGGUUGGAGCUAGGGUUAGGGUUAGGGUUAGGGUUGGAGUUAGGGUUAGUGUUGGAGCUAGGGUUAGGGUUGGGCUUGGAGCUAGGAUUUUUCUGAGUGCACUGAACCAACUCUCGAGUCUCUAGGACAUUCCUAAAAAAAUUUGAUUUUUUCCCAUAGGAAUGCAUGGGUUAGGGUUAGGGUUAGUGUUGGAGCUAGGGUUAGGGUUGGGCUUGGAGCUAGGAUUUUUCUGAGUGCAAUGAACCAACUCCCGAGUCUCUAGGACGUUCCUAAAAAAAUUUGAUUUUUUCCCAUAGGAAUGCAUGGGUUAGGGUUAGGGUUAGGGUUGGAGCUAGGGUUAGGGUUAGGGUUAGGGUUCGAGUUAAGGUUAGUGUUGGAGCUAGGGUUAGGGUUGGGCUUGGAGCUAGGAUUUUUCUGAGUGCAAUGAACCAACUCCCGAGUCUCUAGGACGUUCCUAAAAAAAUUUGAUUUUUUCCCAUAGGAAUGCAUGGGUUAGGGUUAUGGUUAGGGUUAGGGUUGGAGCUAGGGUUAGGGUUAGGGUUAGGGUUGGAGUAAGGGUUAGUGUUGGAGCUAGGGUUAGGGUUGGGCUUGGAGCUAGGAUUUUUCUGAGUGCAAUGAACCAACUCCCGAGUCUCUAGGACGUUCCUAAAAAAAUUUGAUUUUUUCCCAUAGGAAUGCAUGGAUUAGGGUUAGGGUUAGGGUUGGAGCUAGGGUUAGGGUUAGGGUUAGGGUUGGAGUUAGGGUUAGUGUUGGAGCUAGGGUUAGGGUUGGGCUUGGAGCUAGGAUUUUUCUGAGUGCAAUGAACCAACUCCCGAGUCUCUAGGACGUUCCUAAAAAAAUUUGAUUUUUUCCCAUAGGAAUGCAUGGGUUAGGGUUAGGGUUAGGGUUGGAGCUAGGGUUAGGGUUAGGGUUAGGGUUGGAGUUAGGGUUAGUGUUGGAGCUAGGGUUAGGGUUGGGCUUGGAGCUAGGAUUUUUCUGAGUGCACUGAACCAACUCCCGAGUCUCUAGGACAUUCCUAAAAAAAUUUGAUUUUUUCCCAUAGGAAUGCAUGGGUUAGGGUUAGGGUUAGGGUUGGAGCUAGGGUUAGGGUUAGGGUUAGGGUUGGAGUUAGGGUUAGUGUUGGAGCUAGGGUUAGGGUUGGGCUUGGAGCUAGGAUUUUUCUGAGUGCACUGAACCAACUCCCGAGUCUCUAGGACAUUCCUAAAAAAAUUUGAUUUUUUCCCAUAGGAAUGCAUGGGUUAGGGUUAGGGUUAGGGUUGGAGCUAGGGUUAGGGUUAGGGUUAGGGUUGGAGUUAGGGUUAGUGUUGGAGCUAGGGUUAGGGUUGGGCUUGGAGCUAGGAUUUUUCUGAGUGCAAUGAACCAACCCCCGAGUCUCUAGGACGUCCCAAAAAAAAUUUGAUUUUUUCCCAUAGGAAUGCAUGGGUUAGGGUUAUGGUAAGGGUUAGGGUUGGAGCUAGGGUUAGGGUUAGGGUUAGGGUUGGAGUUAGGGUUAGUGUUGGAGCUAGGGUUAGGGUUGGGCUUGGAGCUAGGAUUUUUCUGAGUGCAAUGAACCAACUCCCGAGUCUCUAGGACAUUCCUAAAAAAAUUUGAUUUUUUCCCAUAGGAAUGCAUGGGUUAGGGUUAGGGUUAGGGUUGGAGCUAGGGUUAGGGUUAGGGUUAGGGUUGGAGUUAGGGUUAGUGUUGGAGCUAGGGUUAGGGUUGGGCUUGGAGCUAGGAUUUUUCUGAGUGCAAUGAACCAACUCCCGAGUCUCUUGGACGUUCCUAAAAAAAUUUGAUUUUUUCCCAUAGGAAUGCAUGGGUUAGGGUUAGGGUUAGGGUUGGAGCUAGGGUUAGGGUUAGGGUUAGGGUUGGAGUUAGGGUUAGUGUUGGAGCUAGGGUUAGGGUUGGGCUUGGAGCUAGGAUUUUUCUGAGUGCAAUGAACCAACUCCCGAGUCUCUAGGACGUUCCUAAAAAAAUUUGAUUUUUUCCCAUAGGAAUGCAUGGGUUAGGGUUAGGGUUAGGGUUGGAGCUAGGGUUAGGGUUAGGGUUAGGGUUGGAGUUAAGGUUAGUGUUGGAGCUAGGGUUAGGGUUGGGCUUGGAGCUAGGAUUUUUCUGAGUGCAAUGAACCAACUCCCGAGUCUCUAGGACGUUCCUAAAAAAAUUUGAUUUUUUCCCAUAGGAAUGCAUGGGUUAGGGUUAUGGUUAGGGUUAGGGUUGGAGCUAGGGUUAGGGUUAGGGUUAGGGUUGGAGUUAGGGUUAGUGUUGGAGCUAGGGUUAGGGUUGGGCUUGGAGCUAGGAUUUUUCUGAGUGCAAUGAACCAACCCCCGAGUCUCUAGGACGUUCCUAAAAAAAUUUGAUUUUUUCCCAUAGGAAUGCAUGGGUUAGGGUUAUGGUUAGGGUUAGGGUUGGAGCUAGGGUUAGGGUUAGGGUUAGGGUUGGAGUUAGGGUUAGUGUUGGAGCUAGGGUUAGGGUUGGGCUUGGAGCUAGGAUUUUUCUGAGUGCAAUGAACCAACUCCCGAGUCUCUAGGACGUUCCUAAAAAAAUUUGAUUUUUUCCCAUAGGAAUGCAUGGGUUAGGGUUAGGGUUAGGGUUGGAGCUAGGGUUAGGGUUAGGGUUAGGGUUGGAGUUAGGGUUAGUGUUGGAGCUAGGGUUAGGGUUGGGCUUGGAGCUAGGAUUUUUCUGAGUGCACUGAACCAACUCCCGAGUCUCUAGGACAUUCCUAAAAAAAUUUGAUUUUUUCCCAUAGGAAUGCAUGGGUUAGGGUUAGGGUUAGGGUUGGAGCUAGGGUUAGGGUUAGGGUUAGGGUUGGAGUUAGGGUUAGUGUUGGAGCUAGGGUUAGGGUUGGGCUUGGAGCUAGGAUUUUUCUGAGUGCACUGAACCAACUCCCGAGUCUCUAGGACAUUCCUAAUAAAAUUUGAUUUUUUCCAAUAGGAAUGCAUGGGUUAGGGUUAGGGUUAGGGUUGGAGCUAGGGUUAGGGUUAGGGUUAGGGUUGGAGUUAGGGUUAGUGUUGGAGCUAGGGUUAGGGUUGGGCUUGGAGCUAGGAUUUUUCUGAGUGCACUGAACCAACUCCCGAGUCUCUAGGACAUUCCUAAAAAAAUUUGAUUUUUUCCCAUAGGAAUGCAUGGGUUAGGGUUAUGGUUAGGGUUAGGGUUGGAGCUAGGGUUAGGGUUAGGGUUAGGGUUGGAGUUAGGGUUAGUGUUGGAGCUAGGGUUAGGGUUGGGCUUGGAGCUAAGGAUUUUUCUGAGUGCAAUGAACCAACUCCCGAGUCUCUUGGACGUUCCUAAAAAAAUUUGAUUUUUUUCCAUAGGAAUGCAUGGGUUAGGGUUAGGGUUAGGGUUGGAGCUAGGGUUAGGGUUAGGGUUAGGGUUGGAGUUAGGGUUAGUGUUGGAGCUAGGGUUAGGGUUGGGCUUGGAGCUAGGAUUUUUCUGAGUGCACUGAACCAACUCCCGAGUCUCUAGGACAUUCCUAAAAAAAUUUGAUUUUUUCCCAUAGGAAUGCAUGGGUUAGGGUUAGGGUUAGGGUUGGAGCUAGGGUUAGGGUUAGGGUUAGGGUUGGAGUUAGGGUUAGUGUUGGAGCUAGGGUUAGGGUUGGGCUUGGAGCUAGGAUUUUUCUGAGUGCACUGAACCAACUCUCGAGUCUCUAGGACAUUCCUAAAAAAAUUUGAUUUUUUCCCAUAGGAAUGCAUGGGUUAGGGUUAUGGUUAGGGUUAGGGUUGGAGCUAGGGUUAGGGUUAGGGUUAGGGUUGGAGUUAGGGUUAGUGUUGGAGCUAGGGUUAGGGUUGGGCUUGGAGCUAGGAUUUUUCUGAGUGCAAUGAACCAACUCCCGAGUCUCUUGGACGUUCCUAAAAAAAUUUGAUUUUUUCCCAUAGGAAUGCAUGGGUUAGGGUUAGGGUUAGGGUUGGAGCUAGGGUUAGGGUUAGGGUUAGGGUUGGAGUUAGGGUUAGUGUUGGAGCUAGGGUUAGGGUUGGGCUUGGAGCUAGGAUUUUUCUGAGUGCACUGAACCAACUCCCGAGUCUCUGGGACAUUCCUAAAAAAAUUUGAUUUUUUCCCAUAGGAAUGCAUGGGUUAGGGUUAGGGUUAGGCUUGGAGCUAGGGUUAGGGUUAGGGUUAGGGUUGGAGUUAGGGUUAGUGUUGGAGCUAGGGUUAGGGUUGGGCUUGGAGCUAGGAUUUUUCUGAGUGCACUGAACCAACUCCCGAGUCUCUAGGACAUUCCUAAAAAAAUUUGAUUUUUUUCCCAUAGGAAUGCAUGGGUUAGGGUUAGGGUUAGGGUUAGGGUUGGAGCUAGGGUUAGGGUUAGGGUUAGGGUUGGAGUUAGGGUUAGUGUUGGAGCUAGGGUUAGGGUUGGGCUUGGAGCUAGGAUUUUUCUGAGUGCACUGAACCAACUCCCGAGUCUCUAGGACAUUCCUAAAAAAAUUGAUUUUUUCCCAUAGGAAUGCAUGGGUUAGGGUUAUGGUUAGGGUUAGGGUUGGAGCUAGGGUUAGGGUUAGGGUUAGGGUUGGAGUUAGGGUUAGUGUUGGAGCUAGGGUUAGGGUUGGGCUUGGAGCUAGGAUUUUUCUGAGUGCACUGAACCAACUCCCGAGUCUCUAGGACGUUCCUAAAAAAAAUUUAAUUUUUUCCCAUAGGAAUGCAUGGGUUAGGGUUAGGGUUAGGGUUGGAGCUAGGGUUAGGGUUAGGGUUAGGGUUGGAGUUAGGGUUAGUGUUGGAGCUAGGGUUAGGGUUGGGCUUGGAGCUAGGAUUUUUCUGAGUGCAAUGAACCAACUCCCGAGUCUCUAGGACGUUCCUAAAAAAAUUUGAUUUUUUCCCAUAGGAAUGCAUGGGUUAGGGUUAGGGUUAGGGUUGGAGCUAGGGUUAGGGUUAGGGUUAGGGUUGGAGUUAAGGUUAGUGUUGGAGCUAGGGUUAGGGUUGGGCUUGGAGCUAGGAUUUUUCUGAGUGCACUGAACCAACUCCCGAGUCUCUAGGACGUUCCUAAAAAAAUUUGAUUUUUUCCCAUAGGAAUGCAUGGGUUAGGGUUAUGGUUAGGGUUAGGGUUGGAGCUAGGGUUAGGGUUAGGGUUAGGGUUGGAGUUAGGGUUAGUGUUGGAGCUAGGGUUAGGGUUGGGCUUGGAGCUAGGAUUUUUCUGAGUGCAAUGAACCAACCCCCGAGUCUCUAGGACGUUCCUAAAAAAAUCUGAUUUUUUCCCAUAGGAAUGCAUGGGUUAGGGUUAUGGUUAGGGUUAGGGUUGGAGCUAGGGUUAGGGUUAGGGUUAGGGAUGGAGUUAGGGUUAGUGUUGGAGCUAGGGUUAGGGUUGGGCUUGGAGCUAGGAUUUUUCUGAGUGCAAUGAACCAACUCCCGAGUCUCUAGGACGUUCCUAAAAAAAUUUGAUUUUUUCCCAUAGGAAUGCAUGGAUUAGGGUUAGGGUUAGGGUUGGAGCUAGGGUUAGGGUUAGGGUUAGGGUUGGAGUUAGGGUUAGUGUUGGAGCUAGGGUUAGGGUUGGGCUUGGAGCUAGGAUUUUUCUGAGUGCAAUGAACCAACUCCCGAGUCUCUAGGACGUUCCUAAAAAAAUUUGAUUUUUUCCCAUAGGAAUGCAUGGGUUAGGGUUAGGGUUAGGGUUGGAGCUAGGGUUAGGGUUAGGGUUAGGGUUGGAGUUAGGGUUAGUGUUGGAGCUAGGGUUAGGGUUGGGCUUGGAGCUAGGAUUUUUCUGAGUGCACUGAACCAACUCCCGAGUCUCUAGGACAUUCCUAAAAAAAUUUGAUUUUUUCCCAUAGGAAUGCAUGGGUUAGGGUUAGGGUUAGGGUUGGAGCUAGGGUUAGGGUUAGGGUUAGGGUUGGAGUUAGGGUUAGUGUUGGAGCUAGGGUUAGGGUUGGGCUUGGAGCUAGGAUUUUUCUGAGUGCACUGAACCAACUCCCGAGUCUCUAGGACAUUCCUAAAAAAAUUUGAUUUUUUCCCAUAGGAAUGCAUGGGUUAGGGUUAUGGUUAGGGUUAGGGUUGGAGCUAGGGUUAGGGUUAGGGUUAGGGUUGGAGUUAGGGUUAGUGUUGGAGCUAGGGUUAGGGUUGGGCUUGGAGCUAGGAUUUUUCUGAGUGCACUGAACCAACUCCCGAGUCUCUAGGACAUUCCUAAAAAAAUUUGAUUUUUUCCCAUAGGAAUGCAUGGGUUAGGGUUAGGGUUAGGGUUGGAGCUAGGGUUAGGGUUAGGGUUAGGGUUGGAGUUAGGGUUAGUGUUGGAGCUAGGGUAAGGGUUGGGCUUGGAGCUAGGAUUUUUCUGAGUGCAAUGAACCAACUCCCGAGUCUCUUGGACGUUCCUAAAAAAAUUGAUUUUUUCCCAUAGGAAUGCAUGGGUUAGGGUUAGGGUUAGGGUUGGAGCUAGGGUUAGGGUUAGGGUUUGGGUUGGAGUUAGGGUUAGUGUUGGAGCUAGGGUUAGGGUUGGGCUUGGAGCUAGGAUUUUUCUGAGUGCAAUGAACCAACUCCCGAGUCUCUAGGACGUUCCUAAAAAAAUUUGAUUUUUUCCCAUAGGAAUGCAUGGGUUAGGGUUAGGGUUAGGGUUAGGGUUGGAGCUAGGGUUAGGGUUAGGGUUAGGGUUAGGGUUGGAGUUAGGGUUAGUGUUGGAGCUAGGGUUAGGGUUGGGCUUGGAGCUAGGAUUUUUCUGAGUGCAAUGAACCAACUCCCGAGUCUCUAGGACGUUCCUAAAAAAAUUUGAUUUUUUCCCAUAGGAAUGCAUGGGUUAGGGUUAUGGUUAGGGUUAGGGUUGGAGCUAGGGUUAGGGUUAGGGUUAGGGUUGGAGUUAGGGUUAGUGUUGGAGCUAAGGUUAGGGUUGGGCUUGGAGCUAGGAUUUUUCUGAGUGCAAUGAACCAACUCCCGAGUCUCUAGGACGUUCCUAAAAAAAUUUGAUUUUUUCCCAUAGGAAUGCAUGGGUUAGGGUUAGGGUUAGGGUUGGAGCUAGGGUUAGGGUUAGGGUUAGGGUUGGAGUUAGGGUUAGUGUUGGAGCUAGGGUUAGGGUUGGGCUUGGAGCUAGGAUUUUUCUGAGUGCACUGAACCAACUCCCGAGUCUCUAGGACAUUCCUAAAAAAUUUGAUUUUUUUCCCAUAGGAAUGCAUGGGUUAGGGUUAGGGUUAGGGUUAGGGUUGGAGCUAGGGUUAGGGUUAGGGUUAGGGUUGGAGUUAGGGUUAGUGUUGGAGCUAGGGUUAGGGUUGGGCUUGGAGCUAGGAUUUUUCUGAGUGCACUGAACCAACUCCCGAGUCUCUAGGACAUUCCUAAAAAAAAUUGAUUUUUUCCCAUAGGAAUGCAUGGGUUAGGGUUAUGGUUAGGGUUAGGGUUGGAGCUAGGGUUAGGGUUAGGGUUAGGGUUGGAGUUAGGGUUAGUGUUGGAGCUAGGGUUAGGGUUGGGCUUGGAGCUAGGAUUUUUCUGAGUGCAAUGAACCAACUCCCGAGUCUCUUGGACGUUC